UGUUCCCAUCGCCUAGCUUUGUCUCCCGGCUUUAGUAAUUCGCGCAUCCUUAUUCAGAUUUGGUGACGUCGGGCGGCACGUCGGGGGGGCGGCGGCCAAUGGAGAGGCAGUGGCCAUGGCAACCUCUUAAUUUAUAGCAUAUCUAAAUUGGCUCCAGCCUCGCGCUUGGCGCAGAGGGGGAAAAAGAAGGCAACCCUAUUGUGGAGGGGCGAGAGUUUCACCUGGCUUGCCGGGCUCUAAAAUACAGCCCAUUCCAGGAUUUGAAAACUGACCAGGCAAGGAGUGUGCGGAGGAAAGGAUCUUGAGGAAAGAGGCUGUCAAAUCGUUUUCCAGUAGCAAGUUUACGCGCCUUCCCUUUAGAAGCGUCCGACCGGAGAGGAGCAGCGAUUCCUGAGAUGCAUCAGGGGUGCGAAGUUUUGAAUCCAUGAACAGAGGGAGAGAAGAGGGAAGGGUGGUGAGAAAGAGGGACGCCGCCGAUUUCCAUCGACAACCCACCUUAACAAAUCCGAGAUUCCUCCUGGCCAGUUUUCUGGACGGCCGCGGCUGCCCUCUGACCUGAGAGUAAGGCCCACUGACUACAGAGAGACUUCCUUCCGAGUAACCAGGGCUGCAUCCUGUGGCCCAGGACUCACUCUGCCUGUAUUCCAGAUCACUCUCUGGACUGACUUCGGGAGCGUGGGCACUGGGGGGGUGGGGGGUGGUCCUCGCCCUCUUGCCGCUGUUGCCUAGGAAUUUGGAGAGGGGCUCUGGCAUUCUCCCCCCGCCCCGCCGCCUCUUUUUGUCAUGCAAGGUGCACUGACAACAGGGGACAGGAGAGAUUAAGUUAUCAGGGUUCUUUCUGGCUGGCCCCCUCAGCCCCUCUCCCUCCGAAUGGGAGGGGCUGACAAGCGUCGCACAAAGCCGCCCAGAAUGUCCUGGGCCCCAAAUACAGAGUUAGUCAUUUCAUUCAGUCUGAGAAUGGAGAGAACUCUUUCCCCAUUUGUGGGACAACAUGCCUAGGGUGGGGGUGGGGUGGCGUGCGAGGAGGAGAGGCAGCAGGGCAUCAAAGAAGGAGCCCCCCCCCGGGAGAAACCCCCGCCCAGAUCCCUCCUUCUCCCGUUGCGCCUCAACCCUCAACGCCUCCAGCUAAAUGUUUUAAGUGCCAUCUGAUUUUUAUGUUUUUUAAGGAACGCAAAUAUUACAAACGUCGGUCCUUCCCCAAAGAACACCCAGGCCUGAGCAGGAGGCGUUAGAAUCCCAGGUAGAGGGUCGGCAGAUGAGAAGUAUUUUUGCCCCCCUUUCCCAGAAGGGGGAGACUUUUCAGAAGGAAGCCCAUUAUUUGUAAAAACAAAGCCAAACCACUUAAAUGGCUGCAGGGUUCGUUUCCAAGUCGAGGAAGGAGAAAAGGGAGCCCUGGAUGGGACGAGAAGCCGCUCUGCAGGCGUCUGAUUCGAGGCCAGGGGAAGAGGGAGAAGCCGCGCGGACUUCGCCUGUAGGGGAAAUAUCUGGCGAAAAAGGCAAAUGCUCGGAGUGUAGAGGUGGGGGUUGAGAAAAGGGGGUUGGGAGCAUAAGCGCUCUUUCCGGAGGAAUCACAGAAAAAUCUGCAAGGAACAAAAGACGAUUGCGUGGGAGAGGGAGAACGAGCGAGAACGCGCGCGAUCGAAUAAGACUACCUUGGAGGUGGAAAAGGGAGUUGGAUCAGGACAUUUCUCAACUGGCAAAGCCUCGCUAGAAUGCAGACAUCUUCUUAUGCCUUGAGCUUAUAACCUUAUUAUGCGAUUUUGGGAAGAGGGUGUGUGUAUUUGGACCAGACUCAAUCCUACCCUGUUUUGUCUGGAAAAACUUUUCACGGCCCACCGGUUUCAACGAGAGACUUCGCUUUCCAACCUUAGGAUUGCUGGGAUAAUUCGAUUUAAAACGAAGUGCUUGGCUUAACUGUCUGAGCAGUUGAUUUACUAUGUGCAUUGUUAGAUACACACAGGUGCGCUUCAAAAGCUGUUCCUCUCCUUUGGUGUAUUUUAUCUCGGGUCUCUUAUUGUCCCUAUUCUGUUUAUAAAGCAUGAAGCGCAUUUCACCUCA